CUAUUAUGGGAACUGAGAGGUAAUAUAUCUUUAUGAUCUUUUAAUAGUACAUGUAUCAGUGUCCAAAUGUUUCUGUAUCAGCUGCAGAGUCCUUGUGUGAAAUGGUCACAGUGGAGGCUGGAACCUAGAAGGGAGGAAGGUGCCUUCCUGACACUAUAACCUUGCAGUGUCACUGCUGUGCCCUCUGUUGAAAAAGCCUGUGCUCCAAAGGAAAAAGGUCCACAGGGUCCAGUUCAGUGUCACAAAGCUGGGCAGAGAAGGGUGGAUUUGGAGCUGACAGUAAGUUGUCACAUGUAACCAGCGCCAUUCUCUGUGACCCAUCCUAGUCAGUCUGACACCCCCACUCCACCUCCAGCAAAAGGAAACAAUCUUAGCCUCUUUUCAGUUAAUAACUUGGAAAGUAUUUGACAGUCAUUUAACCCUGAUAUUUUUGAUUCACAGAAAGGGCCAUAAUGAUUUAAUGCAAUGCAUACAGGAUGAUAAAUGGGUCAUUUUCAUAUAUUCUGAUUGGGCUGUAAAUUUAUAUGGAGGGCAAUUAGAUAAUAUCUGUUAAAACUAUUAGUGCCUGAACCCUUUGCAUCAGCAGUUCUAAUGUCAGGAAUUUACCUUAUAUAUUUGCUCUUGAGUACAGCAACAUGUCUAUAAAAUUACUUGUAGCAGUGUCUGUAAAAAGAAAUUGGAAUCAACCUAAAUGUCUGUCAGUAGGGAAUUGGCUAAAUAAAUAUGGUACCUUCAUAAUGGAAUAAUAUUCAGCUAUAAACAAUGAAAGCUGUUUACAUACUGAUAUAAAAACAUUUUUCAUGUAUAUUGUUAAAAGGAAGAAAUAAAGAUGUAGUCUGUGUACCACAAAUGGAAAAUGGGGGUUGGGGAGUUAUCUAACUAUUUGUUUAUGCCUUUUAAAAAUCUCUGGAAAGAUACAUAAGAAAACUGUAGUUACCUAUAGGAGGUUUGGGAACUGGGAGGAUAGAGGUUGGGUGGGGGGAGACUCUUGACUGUUGCCUUUUAUACUUUUUUCUUUAACUAUGUAGAUACAUUAUUUUUAAAGUAAUUACAAAUUAAAAUUUUCCCACUGAGGACAGAACUGAAAAUCAAAUAGGAAUUUUUAUUUUUUUAAGAUGAUAACAUUGGAACUGUGUAUGACAAUAAUUUCUCCUUUCUAAAGACCGAUGUGACUUUUUAAAAAUAACUUUGCAUCUCCCUCAAUCAUAUCUUCUAGCAGGUAUUCAAUAAAUGCUUAUUGAACUGAA